rnacentral:rRNA from 1 species
UGGGGGAUAUUGCACAAUGGGCGAAAGCCUGAUGCAGCGACGCCGCGUGGGGUAUGAAGGCUUUCGAGUUGUAAACCUCUUUCGCUAUCGAACAAGGCCCGCUUAGGGUGGGUUGAGGGUAGGUGGAGAAGAAGCGCCGGCUAACUACGUGCCAGCAGCCGCGGUAAUACGUUGGGCGCGAGCGUUGUCCGGAAUUAUUGGGCGUAAAGGGCUUGUAGGCGGCUUGUUGCGCCUGCUGUGAAAACGCGGGGCUGAACUUCGGGAUGGCAGUGGUUACGGGGCAGCUUGAGUGUGUUAGGGGGGACUGGAGUUCCAGGUGUAGCGGUGGAAUGCGGAGAUAUCUGGAGGAACACCGAUGGCGAAGGCAGGUCACUGGGCCAUUACUGACGCUGAGGAGCGAAAGCAUGGGUAGCGAGCAGG